rnacentral:rRNA from 1 species
UACGUAGGGGGCAAGCGUUGUCCGGAUUUAUUGGGCGUAAAGAGCUCGUAGGCGGUUUGGUAAGUCUGGUGUGAAAUCUCCACGCUCAACGUGGAGGGGCCACCCGAUACUGCCAUGACUGGAGUCCGGUAGAGGAGUGUGGAAUUCCCGGUGUAGCGGUGAAAUGCGUAGAUAUCAAGAGGAACACCAGUGGCGAAGGCGAGUCCCUGGACGAUACCUGACACUGAGGCACGAAAGCCAAGGGAGCGAAACAGG